rnacentral:tRNA from 1 species
GAAGAAAAAGGAAUAAAUAAAGCACCUGCCUUCUAAGCAGGCGGUCGAAGGUUCGAAUCCUUCUGCCUUCACAA